GAGCGAUAAAGGUAAACCCUGAGUGAUCAGGGGGCGCAAAGUAACAGGGUCUUUAAGUUUACAAGGAUGUAAUGAUAAGAUAGCCUUACUGCCGAA
rfam:Candidatus Brocadia sinica JPN1 DNA, contig: brosiA.